CCUACGGGCGGCAGCAGUGAGGAAUAUUGGUCAAUGGGCUUACGCCUGAACCAGCCAAGUCGCGUGAGGGAAGACUGCCCUAUGGGUUGUAAACCUCUUUUGUCAGGGAGCAACGCCGGCUACUUGUAGCCGGACUAAGAUUACCUGAAGAAAAACCACCGCCUAACUCCGUGCCAGCAGCCGCGGUAAUACGGAGGAUGCGAGCGUUAUCCGGAUUUAUUGGGUUUAAAGGGUGCGUAGGCGGAAUGCCAAGUCAGCGGUAAAAGCGCGGGGCUCAACCCCGCUCAGCCGUUGAACCUGGCGUUCUUGAGUGGGAGAGAAGUAGGCGGAAUGCGUGGUGUAGCGGUGAAAUGCAGAGAUAUCGCGCAGAACCCCGAUUGCGAAGGCAGCAUACCGGCGCCCAACUGACGCUGAAGCACGAAAGCGUGGGUAUCGAACAGGAUUAGAUACCCGAGUAGUC
rnacentral:rRNA from 1 species